GAGGGGAUAGCUCAGUGGUUGAGUGUGUGCUUAGCAUGCACAAAGUUCUGGGUUCAAUCCUCAGUACCUCCA
rnacentral:tRNA from 1 species